UACGUAGGGGGCUAGCGUUGCUCGGAAUCACUGGGCGUAAAGGGUGCGUAGGCGGGUCUUUAAGUCAGGGGGGAAAUCCUGGAGCUCAACUCCAGAACUGCCUUUGAUACUGAAGAUCUUGAGUUCGGGAGAGGUGAGUGGAACUGCGAGUGUAGAGGUGAAAUUCGUAGAUAUUCGCAAGAACACCAGUGGCGAAGGCGGCUCACUGGCCCGAUACUGACGCUGAGGCACGAAAGCUAGGGUAGCAAACGGG
rnacentral:rRNA from 1 species